UCGUAGUUGGAUACGAAUAGGCCUUCGGGCCAUGGACCUCAGCAGGCUGGUCGACGGCUCCCGCGGAGAAACCCUCGGGAGCUGGCUGGCGGAUUGUAAUGUCACCUCGCGCGGGGAUAGAUCCUCUGCAGACGACUGAAGUGACCAAGCGGGUCGUGUAAGCGGUCAAGUAGCCUUGUUGCUACGAGUCGCUGAGCGUCACCCGACCUUGGCUCGAUUU
rnacentral:rRNA from 1 species